UGGGGAAUAUUGGACAAUGGGCGAAAGCCUGAUCCAGCCAUGCCGCGUGUGUGAAGAAGGCCUUUUGGUUGUAAAGCACUUUAAGCGAGGAGGAGGCUACUUAGAUUAAUACUCUAGGAUAGUGGACGUUACUCGCAGAAUAAGCACCGGCUAACUCUGUGCCAGCAGCCGCGGUAAUACAGAGGGUGCGAGCGUUAAUCGGAUUUACUGGGCGUAAAGCGAGCGUAGGCGGCUUUUUAAGUCGGAUGUGAAAUCCCUGAGCUUAACUUAGGAAUUGCAUUCGAUACUGGGAAGCUAGAGUAUGGGAGAGGAUGGUAGAAUUCCAGGUGUAGCGGUGAAAUGCGUAGAGAUCUGGAGGAAUACCGAUGGCGAAGGCAGCCAUCUGGCCUAAUACUGACGCUGAGGUACGAAAGCAUGGGGAGCAAACAGG
rnacentral:rRNA from 1 species